AGAGUUUGAUCCUGGCUCAGAACGAACGCUGGCGGCGUGGAUAAGACAUGCAAGUCGAACGGGACAACAUUUGUAGCAAUACAGAUGUUGUUUAGUGGCGAACGGGUGCGUAACACGUGGGCAAUCUGCCGAGAAGUGGGGGAUAGCUCGCCGAAAGGCGAAUUAAUACCGCAUAUGAUCAGGGACGACAUCUUCCCAACAUCAAAGCCGGGGUAACCUGGCGCUUCUUGAUGAGUCCGCGGCCUAUCAGCUAGUUGGUGAGGUAACGGCUCACCAAGGCUAUGACGGGUAGCUGGUCUGAAGGACGACCAGUCACACUGGAACUGAGACACGGUCCAGACACCUACGGGUGGCCAGUCGAGAAUUUUUCACAAUGGGGGCAACCCUGAUGGAGCGACGCCGCGUGGAGAUGAAGGCUUUCGGGUUGUAAACUCCUGUCAUUUGAGAACAA
rnacentral:rRNA from 1 species